rnacentral:rRNA from 1 species
CCUACGGGAGGCAGCAGUAGGGAAUCUUCCGCAAUGGACGAAAGUCUGACGGAGCAACGCCGCGUGAACGAUGAAGGCCUUCGGGUCGUAAAGUUCUGUUGUUAGGGAAGAACAAGUGCUAGUUAAAUAAGCUGGCACCUUGACGGUACCUAACCAGAAAGCCACGGCUAACUACGUGCCAGCAGCCGCGGUAAUACGUAGGUGGCAAGCGUUGUCCGGAAUUAUUGGGCGUAAAGCGCGCGCAGGCGGUUUCUUAAGUCUGAUGUGAAAGCCCCCGGCUCAACCGGGGAGGGUCAUUGGAAACUGGGAAACUUGAGUGCAGAAGAGGAAAGUGGAAUUCCAAGUGUAGCGGUGAAAUGCGUAGAGAUUUGGAGGAACACCAGUGGCGAAGGCGACUUUCUGGUCUGUAACUGACGCUGAGGCGCGAAAGCGUGGGGAGCAAACAGGAUUAGAUACCCUGGUAGUCCACGCUGUAAACGAUGAGUGCUAAGUGUUAGAGGGUUUCCGCCCUUUAGUGCUGAAGUUAACCACAUUAAGCACUCCGCCUGGGGAGUACGGUCGCAAGACUGAAACUCAAAGGAUUGACGGCUGAGAGNGCGAGNGACACGAGGAGAG